CCGCCAGACUCCUACGGGAGGCAGCAGUGGGGGAUAUUGCACAAUGGGGGGAACCCUGAUGCAGCGACGCCGCGUGGGUGAAGAAGCGCCUCGGCGCGUAAAGCCCUGUCAGCAGGGAAGAAAAUGACGGUACCUGGAGAAGAAGCCCCGGCUAACUACGUGCCAGCAGCCGCGGUAAUACGUAUGGUGCAAGCGUUAUCCGGAUUUACUGGGUGUAAAGGGAGCGCAGGCGGCGCGUUAAGCCUGGUGUGAAAGCCCGGGGCCCAACCCCGGGACUGCUCUUGGAACUGCGCGGCUGGAGUGCAGGAGGGGCAGGCGGAAUUCCUGGUGUAGCGGUGAAAUGCGUAGAUAUCAGGAGGAACACCGGUGGCGAAGGCGGCCUGCUGGACUGCGACUGACGUUGAGGCCCGAAAGCGUGGGGAGCAAACAGGAUUAGAUACCCGAGUAGU
rnacentral:rRNA from 1 species